UACGAAGGGGGCUAGCGUUGCUCGGAAUCACUGGGCGUAAAGCGCACGUAGGCGGGUCGUUAAGUCAGGGGUGAAAUCCUGGAGCUCAACUCCAGAACUGCCCUUGAUACUGGCGAUCUCGAGUUCGGGAGAGGUGAGUGGAACUGCGAGUGUAGAGGUGAAAUUCGUAGAUAUUCGCAAGAACACCAGUGGCGAAGGCGGCUCACUGGCCCGAUACUGACGCUGAGGUGACGAAAGCGUGGGGAGCAAACAGG
rnacentral:rRNA from 1 species